CAGGGGGAGGAAGGUGACCACAACCCUUUCUGAAGAGAGAAGUGCUACUCUGUCUUGUCCCUGCACAACCAUGUCUGCCCAAUGACACCGUGGUGAAACAAUUGCGUACUUGUGUACUUCAUUUUGGACCAAGACCUUCUGGAUUUGUACAAUCAGACAUCUUUGGAGGAUCUCCUUCAUCUUCCUUUGCCAUAACUAGCUAACCUCUAUCUUCUGGAAAAAGAAGUAAGCAGCAGGAUUGGCCUCAAGAGAAGUAUGUUCUCACUGUUUAGAUGAGUUUGAGUCACACCACUCUUCAGUUUUGGAAAACAUCUUACAUUAGCAUCUGGCCUAGGAAGGUUCUCACCACAGCUGAGCCCAAGAACAUGAGCUUUGGCCCACUGGGUCUGUCCAGGAUAGGGAAGAGUUCAUUAAGAUUUCCGAGGAAAAAAGGGGAGAUGAAAAAUGACUGAAUAAAUGAUGAACAGAGCUAUGAAAUCAAGUUCCCAUGAUUUAACAGAUCACCAUUCAUUCCUGGAGCUAUGCUAGGACAGCCAACUGCCUCCCUUGCCCUUAGGCCAUCUGUAUAUGCAGGGAUGGAGAGGAGGGAACAGAAGUCAGCAUUCUCAACUCUCUGCUGAGGAGAUGGGAAUUAAGGGAAGACCUCAGGUUGCCAAAGCAAGAAAACAUAAAGUUACGGAUGGCUAUACUACAAUACAGUAGUACUUCCCUGUCUGUUACACACUGGGGUA